GCUUUCAUUAUACUAUUUGAGUUGUGAUUCACUUUCGUUACAUAAAUGAGAAGUGUACUGCGAAACUUUUCUUGUACAAUAAUGAUAUUCACUCGGCAAUAUUGAUGGGAAAUCUUUAUAUUCUUGGAGAAAGGGCAAAUUAAGGGAGUGCCAUAACUCGAAGAAACUAUUUCUAAUUGCGUUUGACGAAUGCACUUUAAAAAUUGACACACGGACUGAUGAUCAUCUUUUGUAAGAAAAUCGUGAUGUAAACUUCCUCCGCAAAAUACGAUGAUGCGUUACCUGAUGUGCAUGGUAGUCGUAACGUUGCUGCUGAGUCAAGUGGCCGACGGGAAUGCAUCCGGACUAUGUGGGAGGCGACGUUGUCCACCUGGUUUCCGGUGUGUUCGCUAUGGAAGCUUACUCAGGUGUCAAGACCGACUGUACAUUCGGCGACUUUCAACCUCUGCACAAGACGAAUGCCAAUGUUCCGGACAGAGUUGUCAUCAAUGCGACGUCACUGAUGUCACAAUAAAGCAAGAACGAACCGGAAGCAGCGGCCACGGUGCCUCUAUUAGACUGGAAAGUUUCAUAGAAAUUCCUCUGUAUUUCGUUGUUGUUUUUUUUUUCAAUUAAACACGAAAACUUACAUAGCUGUAAUUUGGUAGUUUUAUUUCAAUAGAUUCUCUAUCUCCGAAAGCGCGUUUCCUCGCUCUAUGAUGCCUACGUUACAUCCGGCCACCAUAAAAAUUGGCGCACGAUUAAAAGUCGUGAAAACCGACAAAAUGGUACUGUUCUCGGUGGUUAUAAGUGAUAUCUUUAGAUAUUGCAACUUGUUACGCUUUCCUUUUUCAGCCGCGAAAACGGCACUAGGUUAUCAUUACACAAGAAUACUCAAAAGAAAUGUACUGUAAUAAUUACAUAUUUUGUUUUCCCAACCUACAUAUACAGUGAUUUUCCUUGAUUUAUGCGUCUCUUAAUUCAUAUUAUUUUAUUUGUUCAGUAAGAAAAUAUCAGUUCCUUAUUCGAUUUGAAUAAGGAAUAAGGAACCAGUUCCUUAUUCCUUAUUCAAACCGAAUAAGGAACUAUGAUAUUAAUUAAAACAAAGCAGAAAUGUACUGCAAUAAAUAUGUGUCACACCCGACAUACAUUUACAAUAAUUUUCGUUGAGUUAUUCGUCUCGUUGGUUGAUGUUGACUUAUAAUUUAUGAAAAGAAAAUUCCAGUUCCUUAUUCGAUUUGAAUAAGGAAUAAGGAACCAGUUCCUUAUUCCUUAUUCACACUGAAUAAGGAACUGGAUAAUCAUCACUUAAAACUUAGUAGAAAUGUAUUGCAAUUAGAAUUUUACAUAAUCAAUCAAUAUAUAAAUAAUAUGUUCAUUUAUAUGUGUUUAAUUUUGGAUCAAUAUCAUUGAUGUUUAAGUAAGAAAAUGUCAGUUCCUUAUUCGGCUUGAAUAAGGAAUAAGGAACUGGUUCCUUUUUCCGUAUUCAGCCUCGAAUAAGGAACUGGAUUGUGAAUUAUGAAAGAUUGAUUUUUUUUAUCUCAUACAUGUAAAGUAAUAGUAUAUGCUUUAGGUUUUGUUGAUGUGAAAUUAGUAUUCGAAUUAGAAAAUAUCGGUUCGGUUUAAAGAAAUACUAUGCAAGCGCGAAAAGAAACAUGGAUAUGUAACGUAAUACAUAAAGUAAAUGUAUUCGAGUUAUUUUGUGUUGAUUUAUUUCAGAAAUCUUUGCAUUAUUGUUCUUUAAAACCCUACAACAAAUAUGUUACGCGUGAAUAAGGAAUAAGGAACAGUUCCUCAUUCCUUAUUCGAAAAAGGAAUAAGGAACUAGGAAAAAGGAACCAACUUAUCACCCAUGGACAGGAAAGCCAUGUUACUGGGAAAUACGGGAUAUACGGACGAUGAUGGGAAAUAAUCGUUUCCAAAAAUGAGUUUCUAUCCGAUGAACCGAACAUCAUUUAUGAUUACUAUAAAACUUCGUUUGAACAUACAAGAAAUAUGUUGUUAUUUAUAUCCACAUGUUUAUUUUAGUUUGUAUGUAAGUAGGAAGAUAUGUGGACAUUAAAGAGAAUGAGAACUGAUUUAUAGUGCAGACUAUUGCCUUGACCUUUUUAAUUACUUUAUAACAAUGACCGGUCUUAUUGUUACAUGCAUAUACAAUAAAUUUUGUUAAGAUUUUUAGUUCAGAUUAAAAAAAAAUAGUUUGG